GGACGCGUAGCUCAGUUGGCAGAGCAUUGGGCUAGUAUUCCAAAGGUCGUAGGUUCAAAUCGUGCCGUGGCCG